CCUGCCCAGGAGGCAGAACUGCUGCCCUGGGCAGUGCCAGCCCUGAGCAGAUGGGGCAGAGAGGCUGUGCAGUCUCCUCCCUGGGGACAUUGCAGAGCCACAGGGACACUCUGCUGUGCCCUGUGCUCUGGGAUGGCCCUGCUGGAGCAGGGAGGUGGCACCAGAGCAGCCCCGUGGGCCCUGCCAGCCUCUCCCAUCCUGGGAUUGUGGAAUUCCAUGGUCUCCUGUAGCCAAAUUAGCACCUCUCACUAAAAGAUUCCCCAGGUGCAGCCCACAAAAUGAGGAGGUCAUCCAAAACUUCUUAAGCUCUGAAAGGACAGAAUGAGAUCCAGGGCAAGUGUUCACAAGAGCCAAAACCAGGUUAUCAGUGUACCGAUGCAAGAUGCCAAGGAAAACUCUUACUGAAAUCAAAGAAUCAUUCUACUACAACCCUGGCUAGGCCUUCCACAAAGAUCUGACAUGGGCUGGCUCAUUGAAUGUGGGAACCUGCUGGAAUUCAUCUCUAUGUGAGCAAUCACCUGAAAGAAAUGAUUCCCCCUGACAAGAGCACAUCUCAGUGCCUUCACAGGUAUCAGUAAAAUGCCCAUUAUACUUUCUUGCAUUCUUCUGCAAGACACAGAGCUCAGGAGAUGUAUUCUGUAUGCAGGAGCAAUUACCAUCCUCUAAAAUUCUCAUGUUCCAACAGCAGUUCCUCCACAGCAGCUGAGAAACAAGGCAGAUGAUUUCCCCCUGUAAUUUAAAAGGAGGAUUUAACAAGUAACAGGCUGCCGUGCCUUACAAAUGUUGACUUUUGGAAUCAUAAUUCCUGUAACUUCAACUUCACUAAAGAGUUAUAUCAAUUUGCCAAUGGAAUUGAGAGUAGUUAAUGUAUAAAAGGUAAAUUUUUUUGUCCUAAAUCAGCAGGAAUAUUAUACUGCUGAAAUAUUUAUUAACCUUGAGAAUUUGAAAUAAUGCAUGGUUUGCUUAUGGUCUUAAUGGGGCAUCAUGUCACCUAAACCCAAAAUGCAUGUAGAUAUCCAGUAUUUUCUUUUCAUUUAUUGCCAGCCUAUUACCAUCAUUUUACUUUUCAAGAGUAUUUUAUUUUGAAAGGUAUUUUUUUCAUAGAUUGUAUCACAACCCACUUUUAAUUAGGACAAGAGACAAAUUCAAAUUUGCCUUUAUUUUCCUUUCUCAAUAAGUGUUCUUUACUCCCUAUUAGUUUCCCACAGAGAAUUUUUUUAAUGAAGAGGGUUUGUUUUAGAGUUUGUAAUCUCCUGGACAGACUUUAUAAUGAUGAAAUGUAAGUGUCUUUCCUACAAUAACCUGCUGUGUUUGGAAAGCUUCACAUAAGGCAAGGGGUUAAGUAAAUCUCCAGUUCCCUGGGGGUCAGUUUGCAGAACAUGCAGGUACACACAUUGUUUAAUCUCUUAAAACUCUGCAAAUGGAGCUUAUCCUCUUGGCCUACUUGCUCUUUAAAGUGGUGGCAAAAACAUUCUAAAAUAAGAGCAACAGUUCAGUAGGGGAGAUGUCAGGCAGCCCCUGACCAAAUGCAAAAUUCCCAGAAGUGUUUGUUGGAUGAUUGAAUCAGAAACCCCGGUUUGGGUUGGGAGGGACCUUAAAUCUCACCCCAUUCCACCCCUGCCAUGGGCAGGGUCACCUCCCCUUAGACCAGGUUGCUCCAAGCCCCAUCCAGCCUGGCCUUGGACACCUUCACUUCCACACCUCUGAACUGCCAUCAAAACUCUGUUGCACACCUACAAACUCACCAUUGUUUAAAGAGGUUCCCAAGAGAAUAAUUCCUUAAUUUUUAAUCUAUCUUGAUGAAAGACCUUAAGGCAAGAUUCAGCACUGAAAGCUGACAAAACUUUUGUUAUAGAACACAUAAGAAAUACACUUGAGUCUUGACAUCACCAUUUGAAGGCUUUAAGUUAUCAAAACACAACCAGACAGUCAACAUUCCCAAUUUCAACAACCCUGCAUGGCUGGACAUUUAACCAUGCACUGAGUGCACAUGUAUUAGCUCGACUCUCACAUUUGUAUCAAGAAGUUUUCAAGACACUGAACCAGGUUUUUUUCUUUUACUGACCCUAAAAAAUCUUAUAACUUACAGUGAUCCAGCCAAAAAUGCACCUGAUAUAGUGUUGCCUUCACAGCUGGAAUGAAGACCCCAGUGCUGUACAAAUCAGAUGUUAAAUUCCAAGCCUGUAAGAUGCAAGGGAGAAAGUUUCUUUUGGAAAGGUACAUCAGGAAAUGUUUAGCAUUUUGUGAAUUUUGGAGAUACAAAUAUAAUACAGAAUUAAUAGUAAUGAAGGGAAAAAUGGCAGAAAGAAUCAAUUAUUUGAAAAAGACAUAGGGCAAAAUAUUAAAGUUAAUGACCACAUUUUUCAGUCACUUUGAUAUAAAUUCUGAAAAGGAAAGAAUCACUAAAAUAUGGCAUAGCAGUAGAAGUACAAUUUGCACACAAUGUAAUAAAGAAGAAAAAUUAAAAGAGAAUCAGUGAUAUUUGGCAGAAAUCCAGACAUGAUGAAACUACUGGUUAAAAAUGACAGCAUUAUUUUCAUUUUUUAUCUUAAAAGUGGAAGAUUUCUAAGUGAGGAUAUUGAGCUGGAGAUUUAGAAAAGUCAUGUAAGUGUUGGAUAAAAGGAAAUUGGAUAAAAAAAUGAAGGAAAAAGAUACAGAAGAAAAAUUGUUUCUGAACAUUAAUGCUAUGUCCUAGAGGGUAAUACAUAGCAGGACAUCCAGCAGCAAGCACUGUAAUAAAAUCUCUAAAUGCAAAAAGCAAUCAAAGCUUGAGCUAAAACACUCACAAACACAGGGGUACAUAAGAGUAAAUGAAGGUAAAAGACUGUAACAAUGAUGAAAGAAAAGGGAAUAGGCUGGAAUCGUAUUUGAAAUGGGUUUUAGAAUAUGCAUAAGAAAAGAAAAGAGGUUUACAAGGGCUUGGAGGAGUACUGUAGCAGGGAAAAUAUACAGAACACAAAAUAAAUUAUUUUGCCAGGGGAUGACACUAAAGAAAAAAAAUUGUAUUAAAAAAUGCCAGAGAGAUAUCAAAGGGAAUCAGUUUCAUAUAAAAGAGGAUCAAGAAAUAACAGUACCUGAAGAUUGACACGGCUUUAGAGUGAGCAGAGAGCUGUCCCAGAAUUCCACAUAAAAUGGCACUGGGUCAGGUAAGACUCUCAGAGAGCUGCACAGAUGAAACUACUUGAGGAAAUAAUUAUAAGGACCCCAACAUCAAUAUUCUAGGAGAGAGUCUGGUGAAAUUCACUCCUGUGUGGAGGACCUUUGCAAGUUCCUGGCACUAUUUAAAUUUCAAGUUUAGCAAUUAGAGUUCCCCAACUCUCAUAAUAGAACUCAGAAGAAAUGAUGAAUACUAUGAACAGCCAGGAGUUCAAAUUUGUAGAGAUGACACAAUUUCUUAGGAUGUACAAGAUGACAGGACAAUUUCUGGCCGUGUGAUUACUCAAAGCUGAAUUACACAAAGUGAAAUGACACGGGGCUGGAAAGAAUUACUCAAGCAUCUUCUACUCAUUGCUAACUUCUAAAUUAACUUCUUACAAUAAAGAGCAACAAAAGAAUCUCAUUAAUUUUGGACUCUUCAAUGGAACCUUAUUACAAAGAAGAGAGAACAAUUCUACAAUUUCUCUAAAUUGCUGCUCAUUGAGAGAGAGGAGCUGUAAAGACGUGGUGCAUGCGUGUGCAUGUAUUUGUGAUUAUUGCCAGUCUCCCUUGCAAAAUUCGUUUGCAAUGCCAUUAAUAAUACAUGGUCAGAUGCACUUUGUAUCCAGCUGAAUGCUAUAAAGCAUGGAAAAUGGGAAGUGGAUAAGGUGAUGGAGUAAAACAAAAAAUCUGGGCAGAUAAAGCGUCUCACUGAUUUCUUAUUCUUCAUUCUCUGAACAUUGCAAAUAGCCUUUAGAAUUCCUCAGGUGUGAGGAGCUAAAUCAGAUGAGCCACAAAAAGCAGAGAGAGCAGUAAGUCACGGCAACUCCUAGAGCUGCACCAAACCUGUAAUUACACAACAGUCCUUCCAUCCAAGGUUCCAAAAUGUAUUAGAAGGCGAAGUAAUUGGGAGCCAAAAAAUCUGACAA